rnacentral:lncRNA from 1 species
UGAUUAAUAACAUGUGAUUCUUUCUUUCGUAUGGCGCUUUCAGAAUUACCUGCACGGAGUGCUCCUCACAGGUGGUUGUGGUGCAGAAAGCAGCAGUGAACAGGAGCGCUUUCCCCUUUGUACUGGGGAGAGCUAGGUUUUCCUGGUCUGGCCCCUUCGGGGGUUUGGUUCCUAGGCUUCUGACUCUCACGACACUCCUCAGUUCUGUUUGUAAAGCAAAAAGACAGCUGAUUUCUGAAAUCACCUGCUACAGUUUAAAUAAUUCAAUCCGAAACUGCAUUUGAAUAAGAAACCAUCCUCCAGCUUCAAGCUUUCCCUUCAUUAGCAUUAGUUUUUAUUCAAGUUAAAAAUGUCCUCCUGGCUUCCCCUCCCUCCACUAGAAUUCUUGGUUACUUUCAAAAGCCCCAUUUUACUUUUUGUUUGUUUGCUUGUUUUAUUUUGUUUUGUUUAGAGACGGAGUCUUGCUCUGUCACUCAGGCUGGAGUGCAGUGGAGCCAUCUCAACUCACUGCAACCUCCGUCUCCCCAGUUCAAGUGAUUCUCCUGCCUCAGCCUCUGGAGUAGCUGGGAUUACAGGCACGCCACACCCGGCUAAUUUUUGUAUUUUUAGUAGAGAUGGGGUCUCCCCGUGUUGGCCAGGCUGGUCUUGAACUCCUGACCUCAAGUGAUCCGCCCACCUUGGCCUCCCAAAGUGCUGGGAUUAUAAGCAUGAGCCACCAUGCCUGGCCCAUUUUACUUUAAAUAAUGUAAUUCCUUCUAUUACAUUAGAAGGAAUGUAGGCAUUCACCUGGCUCCUAGGGCUUUUGUGCUGUAGGCCUGUAUUUCCAGGUACUUUUGGAAAAAAUCUCUCUGGAGUCCCAAUGAGCUGGUCACAUCAGCCUGUCCAGAGCAGAGCAAAGUGCAACUGCAGCCAGCUCAUGCCUUCAAGAGAAGGACUGAAGAUCAUUGUGUGCCUGAACCAAAAUGUCAGGAUAUGUGGAUGUCAUAAGAAGAAACCCUUGGACAGCCCAUCUGUGUGUUCAAAGACAACCCCUCUACCAGCCCUGCUCACCACAAAAGAGGGGAAAGUCAAAGAGCAAAAGUAGGUAGGUCUUCAGGGCAAAGAGCACAGCACUUUUGUGCAGAAAACCUAGACAAUAGGCCGGGUGCUCAUGCCUGUAAUCCCAGCACUUUGGGAGGCUGAGGCAGGUGGAUCGCCUGAGGUCAGGAGUUUGAGAUCAGUCUGGCCAACAUAGUGAAACCCUCAUCUCGACUAAAAAUAUAAAAAAUUAACUGGGUGUGGUGGUGGGCACCUGUAAUCCCAGAUACUCAGGAGGCUGAGGCAGGAGAAUCACUUGAACCCGGGAGGCAGAGGUUGCAGUGAGCUGAGACCACGCCAUUGCACUCUAGCCUGGGGGACAAGAGUGAAACUCCAUCUCAAAAAAAAAAAAACACAAAAAAACCACUAGACAAUAAUAAUUAUGAAUAAAUUUGCCAGCUGUACUUCAUAACCUAAGGACAUGAUUAAAACAAUGUUUUGAGGAAAAUUAUUAGGCAUAAGCUCUUAGCAUUAAUAAAUACAAAGAAUCAAAAUAAUGCAUUAGUUAUUCAACUUAAAAAGUUUGAAAGAGAACAUAAUUAUGAAACAGCAAAAUGAAGAAAUAAAAAUGAGAGUUGAAGUGAAUAAAUUAAAAAAUGGAUAUUUGGGAGAAAAAUAAAUGACUCCAAGUCCUGGUUCUUUUAAAUAAAACAGAUAAACCAUUAAUAUCCUAAAAAAAUGAGGGGCAAAAUACAAAUACAUAAAAUUAGAAAGGAGGGUGGGAAAUAACACAAAGACAGAGAAAACACUUUUUAACUAUGCAAAUAAAUUAGAAAGCCUAAGGAAUGAAUAUACAUGAAAUGAAUAAUUUAUCCAAAUGCUGGACACAGGCAAUUUCACAAAUGAAAUUUUAAAUUUAAAAAAUUUUAAGAAAGAGAUUAUUCUAAUACUUUCAAAACUUUUCUAAAGAAAGUCAACAUGUCCAAUGUUCUUUAUAAAGCCAACAUAACACUAAUACCAAAACUGGAUAGUGCACACA